AACGUACGCUGGCGGCACGCCUAACACAUGCAAGUCGAACGAAGUAGCAAUACUUAGUGGCAGACGGGUGAGUAACAUGUAGGUAUCUGCCCUUUGGCCUGGAAUAACACGAGGAAACUUGUGCUAAUACCGGAUAAGUCUUUACGGAGAAAGCUUUAUGCACCAUUGGAUGAGCCUGCACUUGAUUAGUUUGUUGGUGGGGUAAUGGCCUACCAAGACUGUGAUCAAUAGCUGAUUUGAGAGGAUGAUCAGCCACAUUGGGACUGAGACACGGCCCAAACUCCUACGGGAGGCAGCAGUGGGGAAUCUUGCACAAUGGAGGAAACUCUGAUGCAGCGAUGCCGCGUGAGUGAAGAAGGCCCUUGGGUUGUAAAGCUCUUUCGUCGGGGAAGAAAAUGACUGUACCCGAAUAAGAAAGUCCGGCUAACUUCGUGCCAGCAGCCGCGGUAAUACGAAGGGACCUAGCGUAGUUCGGAAUUACUGGGCGUAAAGAGUUCGUAGGUGGUUGAAAAAGUUAGUGGUGAAAUCCCAGAGCUUAACUCUGGAACUGCCAUUAAAACUUUUCAGCUAGAGUAUGAUAGAGGAAAGCAGAAUUUCUAGUGUAGAGGUGAAAUUCGUAGAUAUUAGAAAGAAUACCAAUUGCGAAGGCAGCUUUCUGGAUCAUUACUGACACUGAGGAACGAAAGCAUGGGUAGCGAAGAGGAUUAGAUACCCUCGUAGUCCAUGCCGUAAACGAUGUGUGUUAGACGUUGGAAAUUUAUUUUCAGUGUCGCAGGGAAACCGAUAAACACACCGCCUGGGGAGUACGACCGCAAGGUUAAAACUCAAAUGAAUUGACGGGGACCCGCACAAGUAGUGGAGCAUGUGGUUUAAUUCGAAGAUACGCGCAGAACCUUACCAACACUUGACAUGUUCGUCGCGACUCUAAGAGAUUAGAGUUUUCGGUUCGGCCGGACGAAACACAGGUGCUGCAUGGCUGUCGUCAGCUCGUGUCGUGAGAUGUUGGGUUAAGUCCCGCAACGAGCGCAACCCUCACUUUUAGUUGCCAUCAUUAAGUUGGGCACUCUGAAAGAACUGCCAGUGAUAAGCUGGAGGAAGGUGGGGAUGACGUCAAGUCCUCAUGGCCCUUACGUGUUGGGCUACACACGUGCUACAAUGGUAUCUACAACAGGAAGCAAGACUGCGAAGUUAAGCAAAUCCCUAAAAGAUACCUCAGUUCGGAUUGCACUCUGCAACUCGAGUGCAUGAAGCUGGAAUUACUAGUAAUCGUGGAUCAGCGUGCCACGGUGAAUGCGUUCCCGGGUCU
rnacentral:rRNA from 1 species